AGCAAUAUGACAAUGCCCUGGUGCAGUCUGCUGGAGUGGACUGUCUCACUUCACUCUGUCAGCUGCUGGGGAUAAUGAUCCUCAGAGGGAGAAUAGAACAACACGAUCCAAUUCCUACAGGUCCAUACGCCUGGUUAUGGUAUUCAGUUCAAUCUCCUCUCUGCAUGGGUGACACCUCCUCAUAAACAGGACCAGUUGGUGCAGUGGGUCCUAUACAUUAUCUUGCUCUUUAGCUGACGGGGAGUACACAUUCUUCUUAUGCAUGAACAAAUACAUUAUCAAGAGUCCCAUCAACAAUUCAAUGACGGUGAAUAGAAUGCCAUGACAACCACGCUGAUGGAGACAGCUCCAUCAAAUCGACUCCCAUCAGAUAGGCUGGCGCAAUUGUAAGAAACAGCUGUAUAAGUGGUUCAAGAGGAUCUCUACUGGGUUUUGGUCCCACUCUCCUGUAGCUGGACAGGUGGCAGUCAUUAUGCCCUCAGCCUCAGGGAAGAGUCCAUCAUCACACUGGAAUGUCACUUGCAUGUUUACCGGAAAGAGCAGGUACUGAAUGAUCACUGAUGGUGCCACUCUGUGGUGAGGAUAGUGGAGCCGUGCAGUUCAUUGGAGGAGCUGUGUAAAUAACAUACUGUUGGGAAGUAUUAAUUUUCAUAACAAUGCUCAGUAGAGCAUUCACACUGUGCGUUGAGCUUCAUCGCACAGCAGCAAAACGGAUACAAUAACUUUUUACCGUAACGAGUUUAUCAUUAUGGGGAAUAUAAUUAUGAUCGUGAAUUUAUAAAGCAACGAUUAAAUCAAUUGGUUUGUCGCCUUCGAAGAUCGCCUAAAAGUUUCAAGUACAGCAGUUAAAGCAGCCUAUGAAAGUGUCUAGUUCGUUCAAACAGCUCAUUUUGUGUCCAUGCAUGUACACACAUAUACACAUUAUACAUCUGCAUUUAUUGUGUAACACGCUUCAAGUUUGUAUAGAUUCAUGUCGACAGCUGAGGGUUAGCACUUUUAAAUUAGUGCUCUAGUUUACCAAGCCAUCAGAUAAUAGAUUUCUGUUGCCAUUAAGCUCCUCUUCUAUUGACUGUGUGUGGAUUCAUUGUCAACAAUUGCAAACAAUAAUGAAAACACCGCGGGUGCUGAUGCCUCGGUGGAUGUGCCAACAUAAAGCUACUAGCUGAUAUUGCUAAUACACACAUGAUAUGAUUAUCAUGAUGAAUAUUUUUGCAUCUAGAGUGGGAUCGAAAUGAUCGAUCAUGAUUGUUGCUAAAGAGGAUGCUAAAAGGACAAAGUUUAUGGCUGCUGCAUCAGUGUAUAGAGCCUUGCAGCUCUCUUCUCACUCUUGCAGCUACCAAUAGCUAGCGUUCUAGUACAGAGCUAACUACUGAGUAGCAACACUCCAUGGACAACUUUUGCUACAUAUGCACUCUUCUGAAAGGCUGCAAUGGCAUUCCAAAAUUAGGCAUAAUUCGAGAACGAAGCAUUAUUUUGGAAAUCCACGAAUCAGAAUCCAUGAAAACAUUACUAGAACCCUAUAGAAACUCUUACUUGCAGCUUAUUGAUCUUUGAGCAGCUGUAGCAGUCUACAUACACACAUGCACACAUACAAACACACACUGCCGUAUACCUUGCUUGCACAUACACACCGAGGCAUAAUAAUAACUUAACAGUAUCCAAAGCAUACAAAUACCUCUUCUAUAUAAUCGUAUUAUAAUUAUGAUCAUAGAAGAGGUAUUAGUAUACUUUGUAUUUGAGUGUUAUAUGACAUAAUUAUAACACUCUAAUACCUUAAUUGAGCGAAGCUAAACAUGGCGAGAGGCAUUAGCACAGCGCACCAUUCGUUUAAUAUAGCUUCUUUUUUAAUACAAAAGAUGUAGUGGCUUUUAAUGAACAGAUGUUGCUGU